rnacentral:lncRNA from 1 species
AUGGGAAAGACUAGAGAUCUCUUCAAGAAAAUUAGAGAUACCAAGGGAACAUUUCAUGCAAAGAUGGGCUCAAUACAGGACAGAAAUGGUAUGGACCUAACAGAAGCAGAAGAUAUUAAGAAGAGGUGGCAAGAAUACACAGAAGAACUGUACAAAAAAGAUCUUCAUGACCCAGAUAAUCAUGAAGGGAUCACUCACCUAGAGCCAGACAUCCUGGAAUGUGAAGUCAAGUGGGCCUUAGGAAGCAUCACUACGAACAAAGCUAGUGGAGGUGAUGGAAUUCCAGUGGAGCUCUUUCAAAUCCUGAACGAUGAUGCUUUAAAAGUGCUGCACUCAAUAUGCCAGCAAAUUUGGAAAACUCAGCAGUGGCCACAGGACUGGAAAAGGUCAGUUUUCAUUCCAAUCCCAAAGAAAGGCAAUGCCAAAGAAUGCUCAAACUACCACACAAUUGCACUCAUCUCACACGCUAGUAAAGUAAUACUCAAAAUUCCCCAAGCCAGGCUUCAGCAAUAUGUGAACCAUGAACUUCCAGAUGUUCAAGCUGGUUUUAGAAAAGGCAGAGGAACGAGAGAUCAAAUUGCCAACAUCUUCUGGAUCAUGGAAAAAGCAAGAGAGUUCCAGAAAAACAUCUAUUUCUGCUUUAUUGGUUAUGCCAAUGCCUUUGACUGUGUGGAUUACAAUAAACUGUGGACAAUUCUGAAAGAGAUGGGAAUACCAGAGCACCUGACCUGCCUCUUGAGAAAUCUGUAUGCAGGUCAGGAAGCAACAGUUAGAACUGGACAUGGAACAACAGACUGGUUCCAAAUAGGAAAAGGAGUACGUCAAGGCUGUAUAUUGUCACUCUACUUAUUUAACUUCUAUGCAGAGUACAUCAUGAGAAACGCUGGACUGGAAGAAACACAAGCUGGAAUCAAGAUUGCCGGGAGAAAUAUCAAUCACCUCAGAUAUGCAGAUGGCUCCACCCUUAUGGCAGAAAAUGAAGAGGAACUAAGAAGCCUCUUGAUGAAAGUGAAAGAGGAGAGUGAAAAGGUUGGCUUAAAGCUCAACAUUCAGAAAAUGAAGAUCAUGGCAUCUGGUCCCAUCACUUCAUGGGAAAUAAGUGGGGAAACAGUGGAAACAGUGGCUGACUUUAUUUUUUUUGGCUCCAAAAUCACUGCGGAUGGUGAUUGCAACCAUGAAAUUAAAAGACGCUUAUUCCUUGGAAGGAAAGUGAUGACCAACCUAGAUAGCAUAUUGAAAGGCAGAGAAAUUACUUUGCCAACAAAGGUCUGUCUAGUCAAGGCUAUGGUUUUUCCAGUGGUCAUGUAUGGAUGUGAGAGUUGGACUGUGAAGAAAGCUGAGUGCCGAAGAAUUGAUGCUUUUGAACUGUGGUGUGGAGAAGACUCUUGA